AUGCUGAUGGAUUCUUGCUUGGAAGGCCACUUCUCAAAUGAUGAUGGAACUGAGUUGGUGCGAUUAGCUUCUCGUUGCUUGCAAUAUGAACCUCAUGAGAGGCCAAAUGCAAAGACGCUUGUGAUUGCUCUUACUUCUCUUAUCAUGCAACACUUUCACGGAUUCUGGAGCCAUGCCAAAGUAAUCUUGCUUAUCAGCCUUCUAAUCCCCGGACUAUGGGCAUCCUUGGUUUGCUUACUGAGAUCUAUGCACUACCAAACCUUAAAAUGAACCUGAAGUUUGACAUUGAGGCUGCUGAAUAGGAUUAUGAAAGAGAGAAGCUUAAUGAAAGAAUAGCAAAACUCUCUGGUGGUGUUGUUGUCAUUCAGGUAUUCUUUAGGAAUCUUCUUCUCCCUCAAACACGAUGGUUAUGAUUAAACUACAAAUUGGUAUAAAUGUGUUCAAUUCCCCUAUAUGUAUGCAUGCACGCAUGGAUUAUUUUUUUGGUAUGGAUGCAUCAUGCAUGGUUUUAUGAUAAAACACAUGUAUGUAUGUGUGUAUAUGUAUGCAUGCACGCAUGGAUGGAUGAAACGUAUGCAUGCAUGCAUGGAUGGACAGAUUAUGCAUGUGUGUGUAUGCAUGCAUACAUGCAUGGAUGGAUUUAUGUGUGUGUGUAUGUAUGUAUGUAUGCUUGCAUGGAUGGAAGACUGGAUGGACGGAUCAUCACGCAUGUGUGUGUAUGUGUGUAUGCAUGCAUGGAUAGAUGGAUGGAUUGUUAGAUCAUGGAUGGAUGGAUCAUCAUGCAAGUGUUUAUGUAUGUAUGCAUGCAUGGAUGGAUGGAUGUAUCAUCAUGCAUGUUUGUAUGCAUGUAUGUAUGUAUGCGUGAUCCCAAACCUAAACCUGAUCCCAAACCCGAACCCGAUUUCCUAAACCUAAACCUUAACCUAUUCUUAAUUCCCUAAAGCUACAACCUAUAACCUAUAACCUAUAACCUAAAACCUACAC